GGGAGGAAAAUGAGGGGCAAGAUAAGGAGUGGGAGGAGACAGAGAAGUACAGAGAGUCAGGAAAUUAAGUAGAGGUGUAUAGCAGUGGGGGUUGGCGAACUGGGAAUAGCCACUAGGAAGUCCCAGAUGCCAUGAAAGCAAGAGGCUCCCAGGACCAAAUGGGGAUGGCAUUAGCUGAAAUACCCAACAAAGAGGAGAGAGAACCUGUAGAGACCAUAUCCAGAGGUUAGGCUUGGCCCCUGUUUGAGACACGGGCCACCCACCCAUCUCAAAAAUAUUAACCCAUAAUUGUUCCUAUCUAAAGGAAAUAGAGGGACAAAGAAUGGAGCAGAGACUGAAGGAAAGGCCAUCCAGAGACUGCCCCACCUAGCGAUCCAUCCCAUAUGCAGUCACCAAACCCAGACACUAUUGUUGAUGCCAAGAAGCAAUUGCUAAUAGGAGCCUGGUAUGGCGGUUCCCUGAGAGAUCCUACCAGCACCUGACCAAUACAGAUGCAUAUGCUCUCAGUCAACCAUCAGACUGAGCAUGGGGACUCCAAUGGAGAAGUUAGGGGAAGGACUGAAGAAGAUGAAGGGGUUUACAACCCCACAAGGAAGAACAAUUUUAUCAACGAACCAGACUCCCCUGAGCUCCCAGGAACUAAACCACCAACCAAGGAGUACACAUGGAGGGACCCAUAGCUCCAACUGCUUAUGUAGCAGAGGAUGCCUUAUCUGGCAUCAAUGGGAAGGGAGGCCCUUGGUCCUGUGGAGACUUGAUGUCCCAAUGUAGGGUAAUGGUAGGGUGGUGAGUUGGAAGUGGGUGGAUUGGUGGGUGAGUGUGGAGAGCUUUAGGGACUGCUUCUAGAAACUUGGCAGGAAUUUGACAUUGGUCUAGGUUAAGACAGUAAACUCAAGCUGGAAUUUGAUUUUGGACGAGGACAGGGAAGUAGGAUCAGAUAUGAGUACUUAUAUUUGGGCUAACACAAAGCUCAUGGUAAAUUCAGCUGAGGAAUGUGGCAUUUCUUUUAUUUUGGACAUCCUGAUAGGCCCCUAGAAACACUGAUCAUGGGACUUUGUUUAUUGCCUUGUUUGUUCCUUAACCUAGAACUGGCCUUAUUACUUGCAUAUGCUUAAAAUGGUAUAAAAGCAAACUGGGGGAAAAAAUAAACCCUCUUCAGCCUCAGAACUGGCUGGGGUCACGCUACAGAGUUGUCUAAUUGUCUUUUUCUUUUUAAUCCUCACUCCAUCCCUGUGGAACCCAUUGACUGGCUGAGCUGGCUUGGUCAGGUGGUGCCUGGAGCUCUGGUAAGCAGGAUACAGGGAAGGACACUGCAGGAUAGGAAGUGUGUGCAAAGAAAAGUAAAGAAGAUUUGGGCAAGCAGUGAAUAAACCCUGUAAAAAGGAACAGGAAAUUUAAGACCCAAAUCCCAUGGGGAAGAGAGCUAAACACCCAGAAGUGCAGACAUCCUGACACCGCAGGACAGACUACCACUUCUGCACACCUCUGCCCACAUCCCUGGUCCAAGGGGAAACUGCACAGUGCCUCUGGUCAUGGGAAUAUAGGAACAACCAGCCACCAGUACCUGCAGUUCUAGUCUGCACCCAGGACUAAACUGAACCGGCCAAACAGCUCCCUAAACCCAAAUCCUGAGGGGGAGAGAACUGGACCCUCAGAAGUGCAGACACUCCUGAGGCAGGACCCUUCUGAUUCCUGCCCAUGACUAGAGCUGAAAGACAGUCACCAGGAGCACCUACACACUUGAGGACAGAGGUUAGACCCACUUUUCUGCUCCAAGUGACCUGCCUGGUGGAUCAGGACACACAGACACAGAAGUCCUCUGGGUCAGGGCACUUCCUGUUUCUGGCUCUGCCCAGAAGUGAACUGAUACCAUCCCACAGUUCCCUGCACCCAAAUCCCAUGGGGAAGAGAGCUGAACACCCAGAAGAGCAGACAUCCUGACACCGCAGGACAGACUGCCAAUUCUGCACACCUCUGCCCACAUCCCUGGUCCAAGGGGAACUGCAAAGUGCCUCUGGACACAGGAACACAGGAACAGUCAGCCACCAGUACCUGCAGUUCUGGUCUGUGCCUGGGACCGAACUGACCCAGCCAAACAGCUCCCUGAACCCAAAUCCUGUGAGAGAGAGAGCUGGACCCUCAGAAGAGCAGACACUCCUGAGAAGUCAGAGGAGACUACCCUCUGACCACAUUUCAGACUCAAGAGAGAAUCACCUAGUGCCAACUGUGCCCCCUGGGUGCAAGAACCUAGGAGCAAUUAGGGGCAGGACCCUUCUGAUUCCUGCCCAUGACUAGAGCUGGAAGACAGUCUCCAGGUGCACUGACACACCUGAAAUCAGAGCACCUGUUCUCAGGAAAAGAUGAAAGAAAACAGGAAAACAGGUCUACAGGAGUGCCAACACAGAGGCCUACAGCAGGGCCAAGUCACUCUCAGAAACAGCAAGACAAGCAAACACCAGAGACAACCCAAUGUCUAAAGGCAAGUGCAGGAACCUAAGCAACAGCAACCAAGACUACGUGGCAUCAUCAGAGUCCAGUUCUCUCACCAAAGAAAAUACUAGAUAUCCAAAGACACUGGAAAAGCAAGAUUUAGAUUUAAAAAUCACAUUUUAUGAUAAUGAUGGAGGACUUUAAGAAGAACAUAAACAACUCCUUAAAGAAAUGCAGGACAACACAAGUAAACAAGUAGAAGCCCUUAAAAAGGAAACACAAAAAUCCCUGAAAGAAUUACAGGAAAACACAAUCAAACAGGUGAAGGAAUUGAUCAAAACCAUCC